AUUCUUCAAGAGUUUUUCUCUCUCUAACUCCUAAAGCAGAUGUACGCUCUGCAAUUACACACUCCCUCUCUCUUUGACCUAUCUGCCGGAGAAGAAGAUGGCAGACGGCCAUCCACGGUGGCGCCGCCCCUCUACUCCGGCGAACAAACAAAAAUUCCACCUUCCCCGUUAAAAUACUCUCCUGAGUUUGAAUUUGAACUCAGAUUCUUCACCAUUAUCCCUAAUCGUCCGGAUCGGGGACGUCUAACUAAAACCCUAAGACCAAAAUCGAAUCAACAAUAGUGAAGGUCUCCCCCAAUCAAACAUGGAUUCCUCUCAAGUCUGCAAGGUGAGUACAAAGGUGAAGCGGAGGAAAGAAAAGAAGAGAUAAAGGAGAGAGGAGUAUACUACCUCAGAAUUAGUCUGAAGGGCGCACCUCCGGCGAGCUUAGGUGAAGUGAUGUUGAUGCUGAUUGAUUGAAAAAGGGGUUGUUAUUCAACAGGCUUUGGAAAAGUUCUGAAGAGUUGGUUUUGAAUUGGGAACUUCCAAAAGAGCUUUUGGAAGAGUAUGCGAAAUUUGCUUCAAACUGCUGUGUUAACAGCUUAUUCUAAUUUUUUUAAUAAAAUUAUUUCUGAUGUAACAGAGACUUUUUGGAUUAUGAAUUUAGGGAUUGCUUGUAACAUGUACAAAUUUAAUUUGGAAUUUCUCUUUUUGGACAGUUAUGUAAUUGUUUUGGAUUAUUAGGAAUUUUUUGGAAUAAAUUUAAAUUAUGUAAUUACCUUUUAA